UAGAAAUCCUGUCCGUGUGUUCAGAAACAUUCGUCGAUAAAAUCGAAAACAUUGAAUGUUUUCGAUUUUGAAAACAAAAUUUCCAAUUAUGUCAACAAUGUCGACGAAAUCUGCUACUUUGUUGCCUACAUCUCGGCGUCAGCCGUUUCGUGUGUUAGAAAUAUCGACCACAACGCUAAGCAGUGAUGACGUUUCGGGACUUUGUUUUUUUUUUCAGCUAACAGAUCACAACACACCUUUUGGCCACCAAGUCGCGUCGCGCCGGUUUUCCGGGCCGUUUCCUGUUACCGUGACCAAGUCUUUCCGGUUUCGUGAACGUUUCCGGAUUUUUGAUUUACGCGGCAGUUGCGAUUGCGUUUUUUGACUGACAAAUUCGGCAAACGGUCUUCUCGUUCCUCGUUUUCGGUUCCAGAAAAAUUCCGAUGCGGUGGCAGUUUUCGGCAAACGAAAAUAAAAGUUUAGUAAAACAUGAAGACUCGAAAAAACCUGGUUCCUGGUGUUAUCAGUGACCUCGGUAAAGAAUUGCUUUUGUCGAACCAUGUUAUUCUUUUGAACGCUGUUUUUAAUGGCAAGUUACAGCCGGAACAACCCGGAUCAGCCAAGUGAAUAUUAGAGAGUGGCCAGCACCAACAAUUCCGACCUACGGGACAGCACUGUAACCGUUUCAUCAAACUCUGCCCGUUCGAGAGGAUGCAUCAAGUGGAAUAACCAGACAAAUGUGGAGUCAUUUUGAAAAAUUGAGGCAGCUUGUUGCCAGCAGUUCGUGCCAUUCGAUGUGGUCAAAUUCGAUGACCAGGAUCCGUUGCCGUUGUUUAGAACUGCUUUUUUGUUGUUGGCCGAACUCGAAGAAGAAAAUUUAACUCAGGUGUGCAGCAGGGUGAGUUGAUUUAAAGAAUAUUUAGAUGAAAUACAGCCUAAUUGUUCUCUCGUUCAAUUUUAGUACAAAACGCCGGAGGAAAUCGCGGUUUGGAUGAAUCGAUAGCAUCUUAACCAAAGGCAUAAAAGUACUCCUGCGUCAUCCGGCCGAGGACGAUCCUGACGCUCAAGAACUAAAAGAACAAACAGAAACAUUCAUGACAUAGAUUCGAGCCAGCACGCUAACACCGGAAGCUGGUGAAAUGUCAAAUGAUGAGGUUAGCUCGUUUGUGGUGCCGCGAACUUAACUCGUCAUCUUGCCAGCUAGAUCAAAUAUAACUGAUCGAACUCUCAUCUGGACCAGACCUGCUACAGGCUGUCGCUUUUGGAAAUCACGUUCGACGAUAUGAAAGAAGAAGCAAGCCAUGAUCAACGUGCCGCUGGAAACUCUUGGUGGGAAGGAAAAUCCACUAGGACCUUACAUAAAUGGACUUUUCAUGCCCCGACGUGUGUCCCAAUCUGGCCUUGUGAAAUUGGUCUGAUGGAAGCCUAUUCGGUGAUGCCAAGAAGUAACUUCCCACCUGCCGGUUGUCAAGGCGCCCGCCUUUCGUUCAAGUCUGGCCGACCGUACUUCGUUGAGCUGAUGCUGCGCACCGACGUAGCCAAACUGACCGCGCCUGAUGAGAACGUCGCAAUUGGCUCUAAGUACUGAUCCAAACGAGCAGCGGCUCUGAUGCCUGAUGCACGUUCAUCGUGACUACGAACCACCUGCUUAUGUUGCGCGAAUACAUUAGGACUCAACUUCGUCGGUCUACCUCAGGCGCAGGAGGUCAUAGCAACUCCAGCUUGAUGCUAUCCUCGACUAAGGAGACUGUCAACCCGAACACGCAGCGGUGCUGACAAACCACGUUCCGGCAUCAAUUCGGAUGGUAGGCCUUCCUUCUGGAGCAGUUCCGACAUGGGCCCAAAGCUGACGAAAUUAAUCAGUAUAUUGGACUAAUCUCUUAGAUUUUAAUUCACAUUAUGCCUAAAUAUUUGUGUGCAAGUUAAUUGCUCGUUUUAAAAUGAAAAUAAAGUAAUUUUAUGCAAAUAAAUUGUUUUUUAAUAUUAUUUACUGUUCCGAAAUUGUUUUGAACUAUAACGGUCGAUUUGAAAAGCAAAAUAUCGACGCUACAUCGAUACUUUGCAAAUUGCAUACAUUUCGGCGCAUUCAGACCAUGAUAUUUAUGUUGACGAAAUCAACAACAUUUUUUAUCGAUUUCGUUGCAAAUGUUACCGGACGACUGGUCGAUAACAUUCUGAAACGAAUUUUAGAACGAAUCGACAACAAUGUUGUCGAUUUCGCGGACAGGAUUUC